rnacentral:tRNA from 1 species
UUUAAAGUGGCAGAGAAAGUGCACUAGCUUUAAGCGCUAGAUAUGGGCCACCCCCUUUAAAA